CGCCUGGUCUCCCUUAUUCCUGGGGUGCAUUGGCGGGGACAGUUUGUUAUCAGUUAACUAAGCUUCCUGUGUGUUUCCGUGCUAUCCCUGCCCCACCUGGUGAUUUAGCUGCAGGCAAUCUUCUCCAUUGUUAAUAUGGUAAUUUCCCACCUUCCUGGGCGGAGAGAUCUUUGUGCUGCAGUUAGGUAGAAAAGGGCUUCCCCAAGUCUGAAUAAACGGCAUUCGCUUGAUCUCCUAUCGAAUGACCCUGGUCUCUGUCUCUUGUGUUCAAUCUCCAGGCCCUUGCCCGGACUCGCAUUCGGUACAGCUGCGCGCGAACUGUACCGAGGGUGUAACACCAAAACCGGGUGUUACAAUUGGAGGCCCCGCUGGGAUGAUCAUCUUCGGCAACUAGACCCAGCGAGAUCGGGAAGUAGGAAAUCCCUGAGAGGUCGCCCUCGGGAAGACUGGCCAGCAAGGCCCUUGCCCGGACUCGCAUUCGGUACAGCUGCGCGCGAACUGUACCGAGGGUGUAACACCAAAACCGGGUGUUACACUCAGAAGUAACAACUCAUGUGCAUUGCAGAAGCAAUAACUGAGACCUCAAGGCAGGAGGAUGAGAAAACCCGGUCUCAGGGGAACCAGAGACUGGAGGGAUGCAGACAGACAGCACAUUCUGCAGCCUGCCUAUUCUGAACCACAGCCUUCCUAACUGUGUACGCUAGCUGGGCAGCCAGGACGAAAAGAGCCCUCUCCUCUUCCUGUAACAUUUCUGCAGAAGCAAAACCCACUGAGAACAAAAUACCACAUCGCACUGUGACAAUACCUAUUGCAGCCAACCCACUGCAAAAGGAACCAGGACCAAAGGAACACCCUGACUUAUCAGGACUUUACAGACUUGUCAAAAAUCUAAAAAGGUUUUGUGGUUGUUGUUUAUUGAUUAUGUGUAUGGGUACCAAGUGUGUGUGUGGUUCUUAAGAAAGCCAGAAGAGGGCAUGAGAGCCUCUGGGACUUGAUGCCAGAAGACUGUGAGAUACCAUGUGGGGUGCUAGGAAUCAAAUACCAUCUAGAGUUUUAAUAACAAAUUUUAAACUGCAGCUUUAUGCUUCUUAGGUUUUGCAGACAAGGUCUCACUAUGUACCCCUAGCUAACCUGAAACUCACUAGUAUACCAAGCUGGCUUGGAACGUGGGAAAUCUGCUUCCCUCUGCCUUCCGUGUAAUGGGAAUAAAAGAGUGUGCCACCAUGCCUGGGCUUAUGCUGUUUUAAAAGAAUGCUUUUAUUUUGAAAGAAAUUUACAUAUAAACUCAUUGAGCUGAAUAUCUGAGAAAAUGGUUUAAUUUUUCUGACAUUUCCUAGAAAUUUUGCUCUUAAGAUGACCUUUCCUGCCAGGCGAUGGUGGUGCACGCCUUUAAUUUCAGCACUUCGGAUGCAGAGGCAGGUGGAUCUUAGUGAGUUAGAGGCCAGUCUGGUCUAUAAAGCAAGUUUCAGGACAGACAGAACUCUUACACAGAAAAAAACCUUGUCUUGAAACUCCCCAUUCCAAAAAAAAAAAGAAAAAAAAAGAAAAAGGCCUUUCUUUCUGCGAAACCAUACACUCUCAUAUCCCCAUGGAAAGCCAUUUUCACAAAAACAACAAAUAAACACCCCAAAACAAAAAACAUUACAUUCAGGUCAAAUACAAGACAUCUACUGUACCCAGCGCAUAGGUCUGCAAUCCCAGCUACUCAGGGGGCAAAGGAAAGGAUCACAAACUCAUGGCCUGCUUGGAUGGUAAGUGGGGUCAAGGACAUCCUUGGCAACUUAGCAAGAACUUCACUCAAAACAAAAGGCAAGAGUGUGGUAAAGGUACAGCUUCACAGCAGAGUGCGUGCUCAGAAUAUAAGCAGGGUGUAAGUUCCAGCCUGGGAAGAGAGGACCUUGCGGGGAAGAA